rnacentral:rRNA from 1 species
AUUGAACGCUGGCGGGAUGCCUUACACAUGCAAGUCGAACGGCGUGGCGAACGGGUGAGUAAUGUAUCGGAACGUGCCCAGUAGCGGGGGAUAACUACGCGAAAGCGUAGCUAAUACCGCAUACUAUUGGAGCGGCCGAUUUCGUAUUAGCUAGUUGGUGGGGUAAAGGCCUACCAAGGCGACGAUCCGUAACUGGUCUGAGAGGAUGAUCAGUCACACUGGAACUGAGACACGGCCCAGACUCCUACGGGAGGAAGCAGUGGGGAAUAUUGGACAAUGGGCGAAAGCCUGAUCCAGCCAUGCCGCGUGGGUGAAGAAGGUCUUCGGAUUGUAAAGCACUUUAAGUUGGGAGGCGUUACCAACAGAAUAAGCACCGGCUAACUUCGUGCCAGCAGCCGCGGUAAUAC